rnacentral:rRNA from 1 species
GAUGAACGCUGGCGGCGUGCCUAAUACAUGCAAGUCGAGCGAACGGACGAGAAGCUUGCUUCUCUGAUGUUAGCGGCGGACGGGUGAGUCACACGUGGAUAACCUACCUAUAAGACUGGGAUAACUUCGGGAAACCGGAGCUAAUACCGGAUAAUAUUAUGAACCGCAUGGUUCAAAAGUUAAAGACGGUCUUGCUGUCACUUAUAGAUGGAUCCGCGCUGCAUUAGCUAGUUGGUAAGGUAACGGCUUACCAAGGCAACGAUGCAUAGCCGACCUGAGAGGGUGAUCGGCCACACUGGAAGUGAGACACGGUCCAGACUCCUACGGGAGGCAGCAGUAGGGAAUCUUCCGCAAUGGGCGAAAGCCUGACGGAGCAACGCCGCGUGAGUGAUGAAGGUCUUCGGAUCGUAAAACUCUGUUAUUAGGAAAGAACAUAUGUGUAAGUAACUGUGCACAUCUUGACGGUACCUAAUCAGAAAGCCACGGCUAACUACGUG